rnacentral:rRNA from 1 species
CCUACGGGAGACAGCAGUGAGGAAUAUUGGUCAAUGGUCGGGAGACUGAACCAGCCAAGCCGCGUGAGGGAUGAAGGUACAGAGUAUCGUAAACCUCUUUUGUCAGGGAACAAAGGCGGGGACGCGUCCCCGGAUGAGUGUACCUGAAGAACAAGCAUCGGCUAACAACGUGCCAGCAGCCGCGGUAAUACGGAGGAUGCGAGCGUUCUCCGGAUUUAUUGGGUUUAAAGGGUGCGCCGGCGGUCUUUGUAGUCAGCGGUGAAAGCCCGGGGCGCAACCCCCGGCCGGCGUUUGAAACUGGCAGUCUCGAGUUGGAGAGAAGUAUGCGGAAUGCGCGGUGUAGCGGUGAAAUGCGUAGAUAUCGCGCAGAACUCCGAUUGCGAAGGCAGCAUGCCGGCUCCACACUGACGCUGAGGCACGAAAGCGUGGGUAUCGAACAGGAUUAGAUACCCCAGUAGUC